AGAGAAACUUCACAGUGUUUGAGAUAGAUGCAUUGAUGUUUUUACUGCUUUUCAUAUAUGACUGAUUAUCUUUAAUCUUUACUUAUUGAAUAAAUCUUAAGUAGGAUUAUUUGACUCACUGAAUAGCAGCAGACCUUUAUUUUCUCUUACUGUUAAAAGACCAAAGAAUCCUCUCCUCAGAAUUAAAAAUGGCUGAAAUUAAUAAACAGAUAUCUAAUUGGAAGAAACUACUGAAGAGACCUCUGACAUCAAACUCUUGUUUUGGAUUAAUCAUCUUUGGUUCGGAGAAGAUCGUGCAGUUUGGAUUUUUAUGUCCUUGCAGUGAAUUAAGUCCAUUGAUUGUUUCAUCAUUUUUUGUUGUUCCUGCAUUGAUAGCCUUCAUGCUUAUGUUUUACAUUCAAAUAAGCAUGUUCCAUCAACCCAUACUCAAUGCUAUCUUGUACAGUUUUAUUCCUAGCGCAUUUUGGGUCAUUUUGAUGUUAAUUGAUGGUCGAUACCUUGGCUGUAUAAAAGGACCCUCAUCAGGAAAGUAUGAAGUUCUUGACAACCCUUCAUUUCAGAGAUGGUGUAAUCCAAACUCAACUCAAGACUCAGUGAUCGACACACAGAACUGGUACUCUAAUUCUCAGGGCAUAGCAAUGGUGGUGGCAUUCGUAUUGGCUAGUCUUUAUUUUGUCAUCCUGCUCGUCAUCUACUGCCGCUGUAAUAAGAAUACAACAGAGACCACCACCAAAGAUUCUACCAAAGCUGGAAAAGAUUCUACCAAAGCUGGAAAAGAUUCUGCCGAAGCUGGAGAAUCUGAGGAGCUGAUCGAAGAGAAACCUCGUGAUAGACAAUGAUACACAGGAAAUCUUGGUUAAAGUUGGGGGUAAACUUUAUUUUGGAAUACAGGUCUUGCCGGACAGGAAUGAGUCUAAUUAUGAGCUGAGUAGUUUCAGGAAAUCUUAUCUUGAUCCACUCCAAUAGACUGUUUCCGCCCCCUAAGCAGUGCAGUAAAACUUCUGUUUAAAUAAAUGUGUUUUAUACAAGUGUAAUGAUGUGAAAACAAUGAUAUGAUUUAAGCUACAGUAUGCACUGAAAUACUUACCAUACUAUUUGUGAAAGUAUCACAUUCAUUGCUGUGUGUAUAAGUGUAAACAAAGCUUAAAUAAUCUUUAACUGUAUGUUUGUGUGUCUGAUAUAUUUUUUUUUUUACAAUGGGAACUAUAAUUUCUUAAACUUAGUAUUAAUUAGCACACCUAUCUAAAAGUAGAACUUGAUUUUGUAUAUAAUUUCAGAUUGUAAAAAUACAUUUAUCUUGAUUUUCAUAUGUUAUACUGCUUGUGGUCAACAGUUUCUAUUUAGUUGAAUUUAUAUUUGUGUAUUGUGUGUGUACACUCAAAAAUAAAGUACCUAACUGUACCUUUAGACGAACAAUGGAUGGUUUCUGGGUUGGUACCCUCAACGGUACUGCUGUUGUACCCUCAACAGUGGACAAUUAUUUCAAUCCUUGCAGUUUGUACUUUAUAAAAACAGGUUUGUUAAAUUAGGUGCAGUUAUCUCCAGCCGUGGUCCUCAAAGCCCACUAUUCUGCAGGUAAUAGAUUAUUUCCUGCUGCAACACACCUGAUUCAAAUUAAAUGGAUUUCUAACAACCUCUGCACAAGUCUGUUACUGAGCCAUUAAUGUGAGUCAGGUGUGCUGAUGCAGGGAAACAUUGAAAAUCUGCAGGACAGUGGGCCUUGAGGACCGGAGUUGGGGAUCCCUGAAUUAUGGUACAAGACAACCCCCAUAGGUACAAUACUGGUAUAUCUGCAGUACCACUGAGGGUGUCACACCAGUAUCCAAUCCUUUGUACUUCUAAAGGUAUAAUUAGAUACACUGUUGUAUUCAGUGUUGUUAAUAUUUGCCACUGUCUUUGCUGUGCUGCACACUUGUACCCUGGUGUUUUACCUGUUUACAGCUGCGUGGCAACUUUAGAGACUUAAAAAAUAAAUAUUUACUCCAUUUAUAAAUUUUAUUUUGCUGUUUUAGAUUACCCAUUCUGUCAAGUAAAUGGAAAAGUAAUGCUUAAGAAAAUAAAAAGUAAAACACA